AUUGAACGCUGGCGGCAUGCCUUACACAUGCAAGUCGAACGGUAACGGGCCUUCGGGUGCCGACGAGUGGCGAACGGGUGAGUAAUAUAUCGGAACGUACCUUUCAGUGGGGGAUAACGUAGCGAAAGUUACGCUAAUACCGCAUAUUCUGUGAGCAGGAAAGCAGGGGAUCGCAAGACCUUGCGCUGAUUGAGCGGCCGAUGUCAGAUUAGCUAGUUGGUGAGGUAAAGGCUCACCAAGGCGACGAUCUGUAGCGGGUCUGAGAGGAUGAUCCGCCACACUGGAACUGAGACACGGUCCAGACUCCUACGGGAGGCAGCAGUGGGGAAUUUUGGACAAUGGGGGCAACCCUGAUCCAGCCAUGCCGCGUGAGUGAAGAAGGCCUUCGGGUUGUAAAGCUCUUUCGGCCGGGAAGAAAUCGCGCGGGCUAAUACCCUGUGUGGAUGACGGUACCGGAAUAAGAAGCACCGGCUAACUACGUGCCAGCCGCCGCAGUAACAC
rnacentral:rRNA from 1 species